UACGGAGGGUGCGAGCGUUGUCCGGAAUCACUGGGCGUAAAGGGCGCGUAGGCGGUCCGGUAAGCGCGUGGUGAAAGCCCGGGGCUCAACCCCGGGUCGGCCGUGCGGACUGCGGGACUGGAGCACUGUAGAGGCGGGCGGAAUUCCGGGUGUAGCGGUGGAAUGCGUAGAGAUCCGGAAGAACACCUAUGGCGAAGGCAGCUCGCUGGGACGUUACUGACGCUGAGACGCGAAAGCGUGGGGAGCAAACAGG
rnacentral:rRNA from 1 species